GUCACAUCUACGAUCAAAAUGACCAGCCUCCUGAAAACUGACCAAUCCAGAAUAAUCCUUUCAGGUUCACUCAUGAUAGCAGUUGAUCAGCCCAUAGAGGAUACAACGUUCUAAAGAGUGGGCAAGUCAUCCACUUCUGUUUAACCCAUUACUCCUGAAAAGGUUCAGCUCUCCAUACUUUGCUGGAAAAAGGCUAACAACUCAGUGCAUCCUUCCCUCUCUGCUCCCCUCACUGGUACAUUCAGGAAGACACGAACCAGGUGAGACAACUGAGAGCUCCUUACUGAGAGUGUGAAGUGUGAUGGUGGCACAACAUGCAAUUCCGAAGACAUCAUGAAAUGAGAUAAAUCUGGGGAAUCCACAUCAACUAGAAAAAAACUGGAAACAUUUGAAGAGGCAUUGGGAUCACAAAGAGAGUGAAUCUAAACAUUGAACAGCAGGUACUGAAAACAGGCAGAAGGGAGAUCAGCUGCGAGCCUGCCCAUUUCACAGAUGGAACAGGGCUGAGGAGCUGGUGCAGCCAUUCCAGGCCAGCAUCCCCUGCCUCCCACCCCUAGUUCUGCCAGCAGACCACUGCCGCCAGACAUGAAACACGGGCAGGCCAACUGGAACCCUUCCGUGCCCCAGGUGGACAGACAUGGCAGGACCACACGGAGUCCAUUCUUCUCCAGCAAAGUAGUGAUGUGUUCCAGGCAAAAGCCCAAUCGAGGAUGUUUUGGCCCAAAGGAAACAUUUACAACCAAAUUAUACACCUCGG
rnacentral:lncRNA from 1 species